rnacentral:rRNA from 1 species
UACAGAGGGUGCGAGCGUUAAUCGGAAUUACUGGGCGUAAAGCGCGCGUAGGCGGCUUUGCAAGUCGGGUGUGAAAUCCCCAGGCUUAACCUGGGAACUGCAUUCGAGACUGCAUUGCUAGAGUAUGGGAGAGGGAAGUGGAAUUUCCGGUGUAGCGGUGAAAUGCGUAGAUAUCUGGAGGAAUACCGGUGGCGAAGGCGGCAUCCUGGACCAUUACUGACGCUGAGGCGCGAAAGCUAGGGGAGCAAACGGG